GAAGAAGAAUGAGUAGAAGGUGAAGGAGGAGGUGAAGAAUGAGGAGGUGAAGAAUGAGGAGGUGGAGGAGGAGGAGGUGGAGAAAGAAUAACAACGCGGUCAAGAACAUAAAUAAAAAAAAAAUGAUGAAGAAGAAGAAGAAUGAGUAGAAGGUGAAGGAGGAGGUGAAGAAUGAGGAAGAGGAGGUUAUACAAUAGAUUAGGUCAUUCAGUAGAUUAGGUCAUACUUAGAUUAGGUCAUAUACUUAACCUAGGUCAUUCAACUGCUUAGGUCAUACUUAGCUUAGGUCACCCAGUAGAUUAGGUCACUUACAUUAGGUCAUUCAGUAGAUUAGGUCAUACUUAGAUUAGUUCAUAUACUUAACCUAGGUCAUUCAGCAGCUUAGGUCAUACUUAGCUUAGGUCACCCAAUAGAUUAUGUCACUUACUUACAUUAGGUCAUUCAGUAGAUUAGGUCAUAUACUUAACCUAGGUCAUUCAACAGCUUAGGUCAUACUUAGCUUAGGUCACUUACAUUAGGUCAUUCAGUAGAUUAGGUCAUACUUAGAUUAGGUCAUAUACUUAACCUAGGUCAUUCAGCAGCUUAGGUCAUACUUAGCUUAGGUCACCCAAUAGAUUAGGUCACUUACUUGCAUUAGGUCAUUUACAGAUUAGGUCAUUCAAUAGCUUAGGAGGAGGUGAAGAUGAAGAAUAGGAAUGAGGAGGAGGAGGAAGGAGGAGGAGGAGAUGAAGUGACGCGUGCCAAACUAAUCUGUACUCCACCCUCGUAUCUGUGCCCCGCCCCCCCCCACCUCAUCUCCCUUCACCUCACCCCCCUUCACCCCUCACCUCACCCCCCUUCACCUAACCUCUUUACCUCACCCCUUCCUUUCCUUACCUCACUUUCCCUCUAACCUAACCUUACCCUACCUUACCUAACUUACCUAACCUUACCUCUUCUAACCUAACCUAACUUACCUCACCUUACCUAACCUUACCUAACUUUACCUUACCUUACCUCACAUAACCUUAUUUACCUAACCUAACCUUACCUUACUUAACUUAACCUUACCUUACCUUACCUUACUUAACCUUACCUAACCUAACUUAACCUCACAUAACCUUACCUUACCUAACCUAACCUUACCUUACUUUACCUUACGAUAUCUUACCUUACCUUAUCUCACCUUACCUAACCUAAUCUUACCUUACCUUACCUUACCUAACUUAACUUAUCCUUACCUAACCUUACUUUACCUAACCUCACCUAACCUAACCUUAACCUUACCUCACCUUACCUAACCUUACCUUACCUAACCUAACCUAACCUUAACCU